ACGAUUGAAGCCAGUCGUACCUUCGGGUAAUCAGCCUUUCGGGUGCGAUUCUGUGGAGUUUGAGGAGCUUAACACCUUCAUGCUUUGCAUAUUCGUGCUCUUGGGUGUACUUGCUCGUAUGGUUGGUUAACAUCAAUUUUGGUGGUCAUAAAGUGACUGGAGGAAUGUAGCUUCGAUCUCGUAUUGAAGUGUUAUAGCCUUCGGUAGAUGUGAUGACUGAGAUUGAGGAUUGCAACGGAUACCCUUCGGGGCUACCUGUCUGAUCUCUGAUCGUUGCUUUGGUGCCGAAAGCGUGCUUACGGUUAUCAAAGUCGAUGGUCAAUAGGUUAGAACGAGUUAAAUUCGUUAAGGAUGUUGACGUA
rnacentral:rRNA from 1 species